rnacentral:misc_RNA from 1 species
AACUUUUGGCAACGGAUCACUUGGUUCUGGCAUCGAUGAAGAAAGCAGCGAAAUGCGAUAAGUAAUGUGAAUUGCAGAAUUCAGUGAAUCAUCGAAUCUUUGAACGCACAUUGCGCUCCCUGGUAUUCCGGGGAGCAUGCCUGUCCGAGCGUCAUUACAACCCUCAAGCUCUGCUUGGUGUUGGGCCCUGCCGCCCCGGCAGGCCCUAAAGUCAGUGGCGGUGCCGUCCGGCUCCGAGCGUAGUAAUUCUUCUCGCUCUAGAGGCCCGGCCGCGUGCCCGCCAGCAACCCCUAAAUUUUUUCAGGUUGACCUCGGAUCAGGUAGGGAUACCCGCUGAACUUAAGCAUAUCAAUAAGCGGAGGCU